rnacentral:lncRNA from 1 species
ACCUCCUUGAGUGCUUUGGCGUGAAUUGCAGCAAUGCCUCUUGUUCUUCCAUUUGGAGGAUGAAGAUAUGCAAAUGUGAAGGCAUGUAGAAAACUUAUUUUUGCAUGGCAAGAAAGCAAACUACUGUACAAAAGUAAGAGUCACACCUGUUUCAGUUUUUGCCGCCUGCAGAAAUAAAUAUGGCCCUCCAGCCAUAGCUGUCAACCUUCCCUUUUUUUGCGGGAAAUUCCCUUAUUCCAGCGCUGCUUCCCAGUGCUAUCCCGGAUUGUUAGAUAUCCCGUAGACUGUCCCCGGGACAGGUGAGGCUGCAGAUCCGUUACUUUUGAGGCUGCUGACCCCUUAUUUUCAAAUCUGAAAGUUGACAGCUAGAAAGGUUCCCCAGCCCUGUAUUAGGAGGCCUGAGCAAACCAGUUUCCUUUCCUCCUCCCCCCCUUUAUUUUAAUUCUCUUUCAAUUUAAUUCCCUUUUAUUUUAAUGUCCCUUUCAGUUUUUCCUAUGUCACAUAAACACACAGGUUCUUGUCAGCCUGUGGCUUUAAAAAUAUUUUACAUUUUGCUUGCAAACAUAAUUUUGGCUCCCAUAAGAAUGUAGAAAACACUGCCUUAUUUUGAGGUGGCACAGUUUCACUUGACCACCUGAGUUUGCUAUUGGCAGGAACAAUGUGUAACGGGUGAGUUUUCUGCUAAAUGCCAAUUACUCACUCAUGCUUCACACAGGAGUUGGUAACAUAACCGGUUAUUAAAAAGGGAUAUAUGCAGCUGUCUGGCAGGGCUCCUAACACAGGCUUAUAACAUGGGUUCUUCUAGUUCAAGUGAUCAGAAGAGAAGAAAUGGAGUGUCAAUGCUGGUCUUAACUUAAGGAGAAAGUGCAAAGCUCAUUCGCUGUGCCAAAAUUCAAUACAGUGGUACCUCAGGUUACACACGCUUCAGGUUACAGACUCCGCUAACCCAAAAAUAAUACCUCGGGUUAAGAACUUUGCUUCAGGAUGAGAACAGAAAUCGUGCUCUGGCAGCGCGGCAGCAGCAGGAGGCCCCAUUAGCUAAAGUGGUGCUUCAGGUUAAGAACAGUUUCAGGUUAAGAACGGACCUCCGGAACGAAUUAAGUACUUAACCCGAGGUACCACUGUAUGUUUCCUGGGCAAGGAGGAAAAAAGGUCUAUUACAUUGACAACAAAGUUCCCUCUCAAAAUGGCACCAGAAUAGAUCAAAUCAUGUAGACUAGGGUUGCCAUAUUUCAAAAAGUGAAAAUUCACAAAAGUUUUUGAGCUUUUCUUUUGGGGCCGGGAGGGGGGGCAAAGUUAUUGAGCUUUGGAGGGUGGCCAUGACAAUUGUUUCAGGCCUCACACAUAUGGAAACAGGCACAUCAACACACACAGAUAAUACCCUCCAUAUAAUAACAAAAUAGCCUGGCCCAAAUCCAGUCAAAUCCCAUUGAAGUCAAUUAGUUCUGACUAAUUUAUGCCCCAUUAAUUUCAGUGGGACUUUUGCAUGUCUGCAUUGAAUUGGAGUACAGUGAGAUGGGUGGAAAGAGGGUGGUUGAUAUGUACUGGCUCUUUGUUUGACUCUUGUUGUGCCUAUCUACAACACAAAUGGAGGUACCAUAUGGAAUAUGCAGCCCCCCCCCCGUCGCAUGAGGGGCAUCGCAUUAAAUAGGCAGUGGGUUCUCAUUGGCCAGUGAUUCUUGUAACCACCUUGCCACCAUACGGUGGGGAACUUGUAUUGAUAUGUUAGUGCCUAAUAGUGAGUCAGGCUGUUGGUCUAUCUAGCUCAGUAUUGUCCACACAGCUCUACAAGUUUUCAGACUGCCCUACCAGAAGAUGCUAGAAGCAGAAUAUGGGAGUUUCUACAUCCAAAGCAAAUGCUCAAUCUCUGAGCUAUUGACCUUCCUCAAUGUCUGUAAUGACUCAGUAUUUUGAGUUAAUUAACUUCCAAUAUCCCCUUUAUCCAGCCUUGUGACUGGACUAAUUAUAAUUGUAUUAGAACUAAUGUCUUCCCUAUAACUUAGAGAUAGGGAAUAAGAUCUACCCUAGCGGGUCACAUUCUGGCAUGCACAACUCCAUAAGCGAUUUUGACAGGCAGGUGGGGUUGGAAGCAGCAGCAGGAAUAGAUCAGUUUGUGACUUAAGGGUUAGUUUUGUUAAUGUUAAAGCCAACCAGCCAAGAGGAAGACUGGUGGGGAUGUUGCUUAGCAACCAGUGGCAUGAACCUCACAUGGUCUGAUUGUCUAUGUAGGUUUGAGGGACUUUUCUUCUGUGCAUUAGUUGAAUGCCAUCCAGCUAUACACUAUACUGAGAAAUUCUGUAGUGCAGCUGAUCUCAGCAGAGUUGCUAUAAGUGCUGAGCAGCUGAUUUCUAAGUGACUACCCUAUGUUCUAAUGCAGGUGUAGGAGACCUUAGGCACUGCAGGUGUUGCUGCACUAAAACUCCCACCAUCCUUAGCCAAUGUCCAUGCUUAUUGGGGCUGAUGGAAGUUAUGGUUUAGCAACAUCUGGAUGGCCAAAGGUUCCAGUCAAAAUGUGGAGCCUGCUACCACAGUUAUUUGAUUGUUUGUUUUAUUGACUGCUUACAUGCCAAAAUCAUUUCUAAUCAUUUCAGAAACAUAAAAUCAAAUAUGAAAAUGUCCACACAUAAUUAAGACACACAAUAGAACAUUUCCUUCAAAACAUUAAACAUCCACAAUUAAAAUAUAAAACAAAUCCUUCAACAAUAGUAUGAUAGUUUGAUAAUUAAUAGUUGUAGCUUCCUAAUUUCUUGGGAAAGAAAAUGAAAUUAUUUAAUCAGUGUAUAUGUUGUUGGCUUUGAGUUAAGGAAUUUCACUGCAUAUAAUUUAUGAAUUAAUUGAAGGUAUUUGUUUUAUUAAUCAUGCUUGGAUUUGCCACGUUGAUGGAUAUCGUUUUCCUUCUUUCUCUUCAUAAGUAUAUAUAGCGUUGUAAAUAAAUAAAUAAGAAUAUAAAACAAGUCUGUUUCAAAACUACAACAAUGCCAUCCCCACAUGUGUUUAUUCUGCACAAAAUGUGAUAUUCAACUACACAUUACUGAGAAAAGACACUUUGAAAUUAGUGAACAUAGGUAAGUUAGGUUACUUGCAAUAUAGAACUUAGCUGCAUGCCACUGAAAGUGAGUGGGUUGCAGUCAACUAAGUUUUACUCAGAGUAAACCCAUUGAAAUUAUUGGACAGGAAAACGUCAUGAUCAUUAAUUCCAUUGGGUCUAUUAAGAGCAAAACUUAGUUGAACACAAUUCAGUGUUUAAAAGGUGCUUUGGAAUUACUAGACUUCCAGACAUUCUAUAUCUGAAGAAAAGAAAUAACUAUUGGGCUGGAUCCAGACUUUGUCAUAAUUUGAAUAGGUACGGCAAAAUCAAUAGGCUUAAUUCCCAUUGAUUUCACUAGGUCUACUCUGAGUAUGAUUAAAUCUAGAUUCACCCCCCCCUUUUAAAAACAAACGAAUAUGUUGUUAUGUGUUUAAUUAACAUACCUUGAUCAGCUUUAUAGAUCUCAGAUAGCAUGUGUUUUUUGGCUGGUCAGCUUUGAAAGGUAGUUUUAAUGGAAAGGAAGGUGUGCCAGCAGAGUCGCUAAAUUAAAUUUGGCAGGUGCUCCAUUCCAUCUAAAGAAGUUUGAUUCUUUAGGCAGCCUUAUGCUGUCUGUUGUUGAAAUUAAAUACUAAAUGUAAGCCAAUACUUGUUUAUUUUAUGUGAGAGAGGGCAAAGUAUUUCAUGGCACAGUGACAAUGUUUUCAGAGAUCUUUGCCAGAUCUCUGUAUAAACGUAAUUAAAUGAACUAAUUGGUUACCUGAAACUGUUCUUAGAAGAGCUGUACAUGCCUGAACAAACAAUUAUUGUGGCUUUCCUUACACAAGAAUGAUUCAGAAAAACAAUACUAAAAGAGGGAGAGAGAUGGGAAGACGCCAUCCAUCUUUAGAAAGCCCAGCUGUCCCAAGUUCUUCCUUCAACUCAUUAAAUAGAUGAUAGAUGAUAGAUAGAUAGAUAGAUAGAUAGAUAGAUAGAUAGAUGAUAGAUAGAUAGAUGAUAGAUAGAUGAUGAUAGAUAGAUAGAUGAUGAUAGAUAGAUAGAUAGAUAGAUAGAUAGAUGAUAGAUAGAUAUUGUCAAGGCUGCCUCAAGUCUCAGCUCACAAAAGACCAACGCCUAUGUCUUCUUAUAUACAAAAGUGUUUAUUGCAGUUCAUUGUUUGCUUGACAUCCUAGGCGCGCAGCCUUACGUCUAUUACGCUUAGACCGCUGAAGUCCCCUCUGAAUCCGUCCCUCCCCUGCACCAAUUUAAGAGGCUUGCGCUGCUCCACCUCUUUCUCUCCUUCCUUUUCCGCAGGGUCCUUCUGCCCGCUGGGGUUUCGCCCCUCCUGGAUUCCUCUGACGCGGAAUCAGACUGCUCUUCCCCCUCCUGCGGGCUUUGGGACCUGGCCCCUCCUCCGGGCUCCCUGUACUUCCGCGCGCCUCUACAUUUGAACUAGCGCGCGCGCCAAACCUCUAACUUUCCUUUUGACAGUUACACUACUCCCUUCACUGCUCCCCUCCCCUUCCGGGAGGGCGGCUUGCUCUGACCUCCCUCCUUUCUCUGCUGCCGGAGCUGCUUCCCCUGACACUCUGGUGGGGAGGCUGGUCCUGACGCCCAGCUGCCACUUUGGGAUCCUCCGCUGGCCCCCUGCUCCUGACACGUCCCCCUGGGGCUCCCUGGCCUUGACCACCGGCGCCCCUUCUGGGAAUCCUCUGAUUCGCUGGAAAGACUCAUGGAAUCUCUUGAGUCAUUGUCAUCCUCUUCCUCGCUGGCUUGGAAUUCAUCCCCAUCGCUCUCCAUCUCCUGCCUACCCUGUGCCUCUCUCCCUGAACCCCUGACAGAUAUGAUAUGAUAUUAUUAAGAAUUUUCAUAAUACAUCACAAUAAAAAAUGAACCAAUCU